rnacentral:rRNA from 1 species
GAUGAACGCUGGCGGCGUGCCUAAUACAUGCAAGUCGAGCGAACAGACGAGGAGCUUGCUCCUCUGACGUUAGCGGCGGACGGGUGAGUAACACGUGGAUAACCUACCUAUAAGACUGGGAUAACUUCGGGAAACCGGAGCUAAUACCGGAUAAUAUAUUGAACCGCAUGGUUCAAUAGUGAAAGACGGUUUUGCUGUCACUUAUAGAUGGAUCCGCGCCGCAUUAGCUAGUUGGUAAGGUAACGGCUUACCAAGGCAACGAUGCGUAGCCGACCUGAGAGGGUGAUCGGCCACACUGGAAGUGAGACACGGUCCAGACUCCUACGGGAGGCAGCAGUAGGGAAUCUUCCGCAAUGGGCGAAAGCCUGACGGAGCAACACCGCGUGAGUGAUGAAGGUCUUCGGAUCGUAAAACGCUGUUAUUAGGGAAGAACAAAUGUGUAAGUAACUAUGCACGUCUUGACGGUACCUAAUCAGAAAGCCACGGCUAACUACGUG